AUUGAACGCUGGCGGCAUGCUUUACACAUGCAAGUCGAACGGUAACAGGUUAAGCUGACGAGUGGCGAACGGGUGAGUAAUGCAUCGGAACGUGCCCGAUCGUGGGGGAUAACGCAGCGAAAGCUGCGCUAAUACCGCAUACGAUCUGAGGAUGAAAGCGGGGGACCGUAAGGCCUCGCGCGAUCGGAGCGGCCGAUGUCAGAUUAGGUAGUUGGUGGGGUAAAAGGCUCACCAAGCCGACGAUCUGUAGCUGGUCUGAGAGGACGAUCAGCCACACUGGGACUGAGACACGGCCCAGACUCCUACGGGAGGCAGCAGUGGGGAAUUUUGGACAAUGGGGGCAACCCUGAUCCAGCAAUGCCGCGUGAGUGAAGAAGGCCUCGGGUUGUAA
rnacentral:rRNA from 1 species